UACGUAGGGGGCUAGCGUUGUCCGGAUUUAUUGGGCGUAAAGAGCGUGUAGGCGGCCAGGUAGGUCUGCUGUGAAACUCGAGGCUCAACCUCGAGACGUCGGCGGAAACCAUCUGGCUAGAGUCCGGAAGAGGAGAGUGGAAUUCCUGGUGUAGCGGUGAAAUGCGCAGAUAUCAGGAAGAACACCCGUGGCGAAGGCGGCUCUCUGGGCCGAUACUGACGCUGAGGAGCGAAAGCGUGGGAGCAAACAGG
rnacentral:rRNA from 1 species